rnacentral:rRNA from 1 species
UCCGGGAGGCACCAGUGGGGAUUUUCUGGCCAAUGGGGGAAACCUUGAUCCAUCAAUCCGGCGGGUGAAAUGAAGGCUUUUCGGGUGUAAAGAGUACUUUAUGUUAGGAGGGAGAGUUGUAUGGCUUAUAUCCUACGAGUUUAGAAGGUACCAACCAGAAUAAGCACCGGCUAAUUUCGUGCCCAGCCGCCCGCGUAAUUAGAAGGGGGGCAGCGUUUAUUCUGAAUAUUGGGGGUAAAAAGGGGUAGGCGGUUUGUUAAGAGGAAUGGAAAAUCCCGGGGUUCACCCGGGAUUUUGCUUUAAAGAAGGCGAGCUAGAGUAUUUCAGAGAGGGGUAGAGAUUUCCGUGUAGCAGUGAAAUGCGUAGAUAUGUGGAGGAAUCCCGCUGGGGAAGGCGGCCCCCUGGGAUAAUAAAGAGGCUCAGACGCAAAAGCGGGGGGAGAAAACGGGUUAAGAUACCCCGUUGUUCCACGCCCUAACGGAUGUCAACUAGUGUGGGGGCCUUUAGCCCUUAGUAACG